AGCGUACACGGUGGAUGCCUAGGCAAUCAGAGGCGAUGAAGGACGUGCUAAUCUGCGAUAAGCGUCGGUAAGGUGAUAUGAACCGUUAUACCCGACGAUUUCCGAAUGGGGAAACCCAAUAUCCAAUGGAUAUUAUCAUGACGUGAAUACAUAGCGUCAUGAAGCGAACCGGGAGAACUGAAACAUCUCAGUACCCCGAGGAAAAGAAAUCAACCGAGAUUCCCCUAGUAGCGGCGAGCGAACGGGGAACAGCCCAGAGUCUUAAUCAAUAGCAGCAUCAGGAGAACGGUCUGGAAAGUCCGGCAGUAAAGGGUGAUAGCCCCGUAUCCGAAGAUGCUGUUAUUGUGAACUCGACGAGUAGGGCGGGACACGUGUUAUCCUGUCUGAAUAUGGGGGGACCAUCCUCCAAGGCUAAAUACUCCUGAUUGACCGAUAGUGAACCAGUACCGUGAGGGAAAGGCGAAAAGAACCCCGGCGAGGGGAGUGAAAAAGAACCUGAAACCGUGUACGUACAAGCAGUAGGAGCCUCUUUAUGGGGUGACUGCGUACCUUUUGUAUAAUGGGUCAGCGACUUAUAUUCUGUAGCGAGGUUAACCGUAUAGGGGAGCCGUAGGGAAACCGAGUCUUAACUGGGCGAAUGAGUUGCAGGGUAUAGACCCGAAACCCGGUGAUCUAUCCAUGGGCAGGUUGAAGGUUGGGUAACACUAACUGGAGGACCGAACCGACUAAUGUUGAAAAAUUAGCGGAUGACUUGUGGAUGGGGGUGAAAGGCCAAUCAAACCGGGAGAUAGCUGGUUCUCCCCGAAAGCUAUUUAGGUAGCGCCUCGUGAACUCAUCUUCGGGGGUAGAGCACUGUUUCGACUAGGGGGUCAUCCCGACUUACCAACUCGAUGCAAACUGCGAAUACCGAAGAAUGUUAUCACGGGAGACACACGGCGGGUGCUAACGUCCGUCGUGAAGAGGGAAACAACCCAGACCGCCAGCUAAGGUCCCAAAGUCAUGGUUAAGUGGGAAACGAAGUGGGAAGGCUCAGACAGCCAGGAUGUUGGCUUAGAAGCAGCCAUCAUUUAAAGAAAGCGUAAUAGCUCACUGGUCGAGUCGGCCCGCGCGGAAGAUGUAACGGGGCUAAACCAUGCACCGAAGCUGCGGCAGCGAACGUAUCACUUAAAUUUGUUUGAGUGAAAAACGAUUGACGGAACGAAGUGACGUCAAUGCGUCCAUUAAAGUCGAGGCGAAAGCCAGAUAAGCGAAUUUAAGGAUACGUUCGUUGGGUAGGGGAGCGUUCUGUAAGCCUGCGAAGGUGUACUGUGAGGUAUGCUGGAGGUAUCAGAAGUGCGAAUGCUGACAUAAGUAACGAUAAUGCGGGUGAAAAACCCGCACGCCGGAAGACCAAGGGUUCCUGUCCAACGUUAAUCGGGGCAGGGUGAGUCGACCCCUAAGGCGAGGCUGAAAAGCGUAGUCGAUGGGAAACGGGUUAAUAUUCCCGUACUGGUGGUAACUGCGAUGGGGGAACGGAGAAGGCUAGGUUGUCCGGGCGACGGUCGUCCCGGUUCAAGCAUGUAGGCAGAGUGAUUAGGCAAAUCCGGUCACUUAAUGCUGAGGUGUGAUGACGAACCACUAAGGUGGUGAAGCAAUUGAUGCCCUGCUUCCAGGAAAAGCCUCUAAGCUUCAGGUUACCAACAAUCGUACCCCAAACCGACACAGGUGGUCAGGUAGAGAAUACUCAGGCGCUUGAGAGAACUCGGGUGAAGGAACUAGGCAAAAUGGUGCCGUAACUUCGGGAGAAGGCACGCUGGCGGUAAGUGAAGUCCCUCGCGGACGGAGCCGAAGCCAGUCGAAGAUACCAGCUGGCUGCAACUGUUUAUUAAAAACACAGCACUGUGCAAACACGAAAGUGGACGUAUACGGUGUGACGCCUGCCCGGUGCUGGAAGGUUAAUUGAUGGGGUUAUCCGUAAGGAGAAGCUCUUGAUCGAAGCCCCAGUAAACGGCGGCCGUAACUAUAACGGUCCUAAGGUAGCGAAAUUCCUUGUCGGGUAAGUUCCGACCUGCACGAAUGGCGUAAUGAUGGCCAGGCUGUCUCCACCCGAGACUCAGUGAAAUUGAACUCGCUGUGAAGAUGCAGUGUACCCGCGGCAAGACGGAAAGACCCCGUGAACCUUUACUAUAGCUUGACACUGAACAUUGAGCCUUGAUGUGUAGGAUAGGUGGGAGACUAUGAAGUGUGGACGCCAGUCUGCAUGGAGUCAACCUUGAAAUACCACCCUUUAACGUUUGAUGUUCUAACCUAG
rnacentral:rRNA from 1 species